UACGUAGGUGGCAAGCGUUGUCCGGAUUUACUGGGCGUAAAGAGCGCGCAGGCGGUCGGUCAAGUCGCGUGUGAAAGCCCCCGGCUCAACUGGGGAGGGUCACGCGAUACUGAUCGACUCGAAGGCAGGAGAGGGAAGUGGAAUUCCCGGUGUAGUGGUGAAAUGCGUAGAUAUCGGGAGGAACACCAGUGGCGAAGGCGACUUCCUGGCCUGUUCUUGACGCUGAGGCGCGAAAGCUAGGGGAGCAAACAGG
rnacentral:rRNA from 1 species